GGAGGAAAGCAGGGGAUCGAAAGACCUUGCGCUUUUGGAGCGGCCGAUGUCUGAUUAGCUAGUUGGUGGGGUAAUGGCCUACCAAGGCGACGAUCAGUAGUUGGUCUGAGAGGACGACCAGCCACACUGGGACUGAGACACGGCCCAGACUCCUACGGGAGGCAGCAGUGGGGAAUUUUGGACAAUGGGCGCAAGCCUGAUCCAGCAAUGCCGCGUGAGUGAAGAAGGCCUUCGGGUUGUAAAGCUCUUUCAGUCGAGAAGAAAAGGCUGCAGUGAAUAACUGUAGUUUAUGACGGUAUCGACAGAAGAAGCACCGGCUAACUACGUGCCAGCAGCCGCGGUAAUACGUAGGGUGCGAGCGUUAAUCGGAAUUACUGGGCGUAAAGGGUGCGCAGGCGGUUUUGUAAGUCAGAUGUAAAUCCC
rnacentral:rRNA from 1 species